rnacentral:rRNA from 1 species
CGCGAAGAGUCCUACCAGCUCUUGACAUUCGGGGUAUGGGCAUUGGAGACGAUGUCCUUCAGUUAGGCUGGCCCCAGAACAGGUGCUGCAUGGCUGUCGUCAGCUCGUGUCGUGAGAUGUUGGGUUAAGUCCCGCAACGAGCGCAACCCUCGCCCUUAGUUGCCAGCAUUGAGUUGGGCACUCUAAGGGGACUGCCGGUGAUAAGCCGAGAGGAAGGUGGGGAUGACGUCAAGUCCUCAUGGCCCUUACGGGCUGGGCUACACACGUGCUACAAUGGUGGUGACAGUGGGCAGCGAGACAGCGAUGUCGAGCUAAUCUCCAAAAGCCAUCUCAGUUCGGAUUGCACUCUGCAACUCGAGUGCAUGAAGUUGGAAUCGCGUAGUAAUCGCAGAUCAGCAUGCUGCGGGAAUAC